rnacentral:rRNA from 1 species
AGGGAAUCUUCGGCAAUGGACGGAAGUCUGACCGAGCAACGCCGCGUGAGUGAAGAAGGUUUUCGGAUCGUAAAGCUCUGUUGUAAGAGAAGAACGAGUGUGAGAGUGGAAAGUUCACACUGUGACGGUAUCUUACCAGAAAGGGACGGCUAACUACGUGCCAGCAGCCGCGGUAAUACGUAGGUCCCGAGCGUUAUCCGGAUUUAUUGGGCGUAAAGCGAGCGCAGGCGGUUAGAUAAGUCUGAAGUUAAAGGCUGUGGCUUAACCAUAGUACGCUUUGGAAACUGUUUAACUUGAGUGCAAGAGGGGAGAGUGGAAUUCCAUGUGUAGCGGUGAAAUGCGUAGAUAUAUGGAGGAACACCGGUGGCGAAAGCGGCUCUCUGGCUUGUAACUGACGCUGAGGCUCGAAAGCGUGGGGAGCAAACAGGAUUAGAUACCCUGGUAGUCCACGCCGUAAACGAUGAGUGCUAGGUGUUGGGUCCUUUCCGGGACUCAGUGCCGCAGCUAACGCAUUAAGCACUCCGCCUGGGGAGUACGACCGCAAGGUUG